rnacentral:rRNA from 1 species
AGGAUGAACGCUGGCGGUCUGCUUAACACAUGCAAGUCGAACGGGCGUAGCAAUACGUUAGUGGCGGACGGGUGAGUAACGCGUGAGAAUCUACCUUCAGGACGGAGACAACAGUUGGAAACGACUGCUAACCCCCGAUGUACUGAAAAGGCAAAUAUUUAUAGCCUGAAGAAGAGCUCGCGUCCGAUUAGCUAGUUGGAGAGGUAAAAGCUCACCAAGGCGACGAUCGGUAGCUGGUCUGAGAGGACGAUCAGCCACACUGGGACUGAGACACGGCCCAGACUCCUACGGGAGGCAGCAGUGGGAAUUUCCGCAAUGGGCGAAAGCCUGACGGAGCAAGACCGCGUGGGGGAAGAAGGCUCUUGGGUUGUAAACCCCUUUUCUCUGGAAGAAGUUGUGAAAGCAGCCUGACGGUACCAGAGGAAUCAGCAUCGGCUAACUCCGUGCCAGCAGCCGC